UUUUUUUUGUUUUUUUUUUCCUUCCCCUUCUUCUUCUCUUUUCUUCCCUCUCUCCUGUGAGUCUAGGAUGUGGCUUCGCUGUACUUGGACAGAAGGUUUUCGUAGUGGUCAGCUGAAUUCUGUAACCAAAUUACACAGUUUGCUUUUAAAAGUUGUGGCCAACUGUUACAGGCAAGAUGGGAUGAAUGCUAGGAGGAACAAAAGGAUAAAGAACUGCAUGAGCUGAUGCAGCUGAGGAGGCUGGGGAUUUCACAAGGAUGGCAAAUGAAGAAAAGCUUGCUUUUGCAUCCGGAAGGGAUUAUAUUUGUUAGGAGAUUGGAGAAAAUUCAAACAAAUAAAAACAAGCCAUUGCUAAAAACAACUGAAGAGUUAUGUAAUGGUGCAAAUGGAUGCGGAAGUACUUAGUUCUGUGGAUAACUGCCAUAGCAAAUCAUCUCUUGACUUCAGUGGAAAACAACACAUC